rnacentral:rRNA from 1 species
GAUGAACGCUGGCGGCGUGCCUAAUACAUGCAAGUCGAGCGAACAGACGAGGAGCUUGCUCCUCUGACGUUAGCGGCGGACGGGUGAGUAACACGUGGAUAACCUACCUAUAAGACUGGGAUAACUUCGGGAAACCGGAGCUAAUACCGGAUAAUAUAUUGAACCGCAUGGUUCAAUAGUGAAAGACGGUUUUGCUGUCACUUAUAGAUGGAUCCGCGCCGCAUUAGCUAGUUGGUAAGGUAACGGCUUACCAAGGCAACGAUGCGUAGCCGACCUGAGAGGGGGGUCGCCCACACGGGAACUGAGACACGGUCCAGACUCCUACGGGAGGCAGCAGUAGGGAAACUUCCGCAAUGGGCGAAAGCUUGACGGAGCAACGCCGCGUGAGUGAUGAAGGUCUUCGGAUCGUAAAACUCUGUUAUUAGGGAAGAACAAAUGUGUAAGUAACUAUGCACGUCUUGACGGUACCUAAUCAGAAAGCCACGGCUAACUACGUG